GGCGGACGGGUGAGUAACGCGUAGGAAUCUACCUGGUAGUGGGGGACAACUCGGGGAAACUCGAGCUAAUACCGCAUACGCCCUAAGGGGGAAAGCGGGGGAUCUUCGGACCUCGUGCUAUCAGAUGAGCCUGCGUUGGAUUAGCUAGUUGGUGGGGUAAUGGCCUACCAAGGCGACGAUCCAUAGCUGGUCUGAGAGGAUGAUCAGCCACACCGGGACUGAGACACGGCCCGGACUCCUACGGGAGGCAGCAGUGGGGAAUAUUGCGCAAUGGGCGAAAGCCUGACGCAGCCAUGCCGCGUGUGUGAAGAAGGCCUUCGGGUUGUAAAGCACUUUCAAUUGGGAGGAAAGGUUCACGGUUAAUACCCGUGAGCUGUGACGUUACCUUUAGAAGAAGCACCGGCUAACUCCGUGCCAGCAGCCGCGGUAAUACGGAGGGUGCGAGCGUUAAUCGGAAUUACUGGGCGUAAAGCGCGC
rnacentral:rRNA from 1 species